AUUUAAGUAGUUUAUUAAAAUACCAAUUUGUGGCAUUGGAGAUGGCGAAUACACACCGCCCUUAAAUC
rnacentral:tRNA from 3 species